ACAGCUUUUGGUCCGCCAGUGCCAAGACUUGUAUCAGUUGGACUUCUUCCCCCACAGAACAAACGGAAGAGGAAUUCAAAGGAAAGGUUAUCACUGAUGGGGUUGAAGUAUGAUGAUCCUUUCUCGGACAAUUCUUUUUCAAGGCUAGUAAAUAGCACAGAGAUUGAGCUAAUAAAGAUGGGUAUAAACUUGUCAUGCGACUUAGCAAGUGUGGAUAAGAAAAGGCCUUUAAGUGUGAAGUGUUUGGGAUGAGUAGUUCCAAGAAAUUCACAACUUUAUAAGGUAAAUAGCUCAGACAUUGAGCUAAUAAAGAUUGGGAUGAAUUUGUCAUGCAACUUAGCAAGUGUGGACAAGAAAAGGCCUUUAAGUGUGGAGUGUUUGGGAUCAGUAGUUCCAAGAAAACCACACAC
rnacentral:lncRNA from 1 species